CCUGCCCCGCCUCGGCCCGCCAUGUCGUGCGUGCUGAGUCGGUGGGGUUGGGUGCCGUCCGGAAUGAUGAGGAAGACAGCCAGGAAGCAGAUGAGAAGAUGAAGAAGGCAAUAAAGGGAGAAAGAUGAAAGUCAGAGCUGAGAUAUGUCAACGUGGUCACACUGGAUCUCACAUUUUCUGCAGAGACCAGGAAACAGUAUUCUCAUCUGAGCAUCUUUGUGGAAAUUUUGAUUAAAUUGAAGCCACAUUAAGCUGUCACACAAGUUUUACUCAACAAUGGACAUCUAAUUGUCACUGAGAGAAGAC
rnacentral:lncRNA from 1 species